CGUAAACCGGAUGUUGUCGAGCCUUCUGUUGCGUUCACUGACAGUCGCCGCCGACACGUUUUCUAGUACUCUCCACGUCUAGAACUUUCCUGUGAGAAACGCAGCACAGGUCUGCGGGCGAAACCCAUGGCAGCCGAACGCAGCUUCUCCGAUAGCUUCAUUGACGAAGAUCCACAGAAAGCUCUGGAGGUUCUUAAUGAGGCUCUGCAAGGAGACUGUGACAAUGCUGAGUGGCUCUGCCAGCGUGCCUAUGCCCACAUACUUCUGAAAAACUACAGCAGUGCUGUUGAUGAUGCAAAGAAAGCGCAGCAGCUAAAACCCAGCUUACCUUUAGCCUUCAUGCGAACAGGAAUUGGAGAGUACCACCUGAAAAACUAUGAGUCGGCACAUUCGGCUUUCACUCAGGGUCAGCAGCUGGACGAUUCUGACAAAUCAUCUGAAGUCUGGAUAAAACGAUGCGAGGAGAUGAUGGGGACUCAGACACAAAACGGCAGCGAUGCCACGACACCAGCUGCUCCACCUGUGAAGCAUGACUGGUACCAAACAGACUCACAAGUCAUCGUCACGGUGAUGGCCAAGAACGUUCCCAAGGACGCAGUGCGCGUCAGCUUCACGGAAAGAGAGCUUUCUGCACAGAUACAGAUGUCGUCGGGCGAGGAUUGUGACCUCCACUUCCACCUCCUGCACCCGAUCGUACCGCAACAGAGCACCUUCAAGAUCCUCUCCACCAAGGUGGAAAUCAAGAUGAAAAAGAUGGACGCCAUCAGAUGGGAGAAGCUGGAGGGAGAAGGACAGGAGUCCAGCAUCAAACACUUCAAUCCGAACCAGUACCCAACGUCUUCCCACCACACCCAUAAGUGGGACAAGAUGGUGAUGGACUUAAGCGAGGAGGAGAAGAACGAGAAGCUGGAGGGAGACGCGGCGCUCAACAAGCUCUUCCAGCAGAUCUACUCGGACGGCUCGGACGACGUCAAGCGGGCCAUGAACAAGUCCUUCAGAGCAGCUGUGUAGAUGUUUGUGCUGCCGAGACUGAGAGGAGAAAUGGAGAAAUAUCUUCUUAAAUAAAGAUGGAGUCUGGUGGUACGGUCCUGAGCACCAACUGGAGCGACGUUGGCACGAGGAAGGUGGACGUGAAGCCACCAGAAGACGUGGAGUUCAAGAAAUACUGAAUGUCCCCCUGCGUCCCUUUUUUUCUUUUCUUUUCCUUUUUGUUUAGUUUUAAACAUCGUCUGUCUAUACUCUUGCCCACCUCAGCUCCUUCGGGAUCCCUCGUUGCUCGGCCGUCUGCACCGCGGUCUACUCUUUAGCCUCCUUCCUCCAGGAGGCGCUGCAUUCACACCACCGCUCCACCGAAACCAAGCUAAUCAACUGAUUGGGUUUGAAAUGCGAAUGAUCUAUUGUUGUUUUUUUUUUUUUCUUUAGAGGCCGACAGACUUACAAAGGUGAUCGGUAGACCUGAAAUGCAGCGAUUCAGCCUUCAGACGAGUUUCCUCUAAACAACCACAGCCUUUCUGUUUGGAAGCCUUUUCACAAUUUGCCAUCUUCAACAGCGUGUAAAAAAAUGUACAAUUGCUUAGGAUAAGAACUAUAAGUGAAACUUGUUUUUUUUCUUCCUGUGAAGAGUCUGCACCAGUGCUCAUUGUAAAUAAAAAAGAUUUCUUCUUUGGGCUGUAAA